AGAGUUUGAUCAUGGCUCAGGAUGAACGCUAGCGGCAGGCCUAAUACAUGCAAGUCGAACGGUGUCUUCGGACAUAGUGGCGCACGGGUGCGUAACACGUAUGCAACCUACCUUACAUUGGGGGAUAGCCUUUCGAAAGGGAGAUUAAUACCGCAUAAGACAGUAACUAGGCAUCUAGUAGCUGUUAAAGAUUUAUCGAUGUAAGCUGGGCAUGCGUCCAAUUAGCUAGUUGGUGAGGUAAUGGCUCACCAAGGCAAUGAUUGGUAGGGGAACUGAGAGGUCAAUCCCCCACACUGGCACUGAGAUACGGGCCAGACUCCUACGGGAGGCAGCAGUAGGGAAUAUUGGGCAAUGGACGCAAGUCUGACCCAGCCAUGCCGCGUGCAGGAUGAAGGCGUUAUGCGUUGUAAACUGCUUUUAUAAAGGAAAAAACGACUCUUGCGAGAGGCAUUGACGGUACUGUAUGAAUAAGCACCGGUUAACUCCGUGCCACCACCCGCGGAAUACGGAGGGUGCAAGCGUUGUCCGGAUUUUUUGGGGUUUAAAAGGGGGGCGCAGGUGGUUUAUUAAAUCCGUGGGGGAAAAAACGGUCGCUCCAACAAUUGCAGGGCCUUUGAAACU
rnacentral:rRNA from 1 species